GUACCUCACCAGGACCAAACAGGCUUGUGCAAAGUUGAAGUAUCACAGGGGAGGUUAUCAGUUGCACAGGUGGUGCAUGGUUGUCGUCAGCUGUUGUAGUGAGAUGUUGGGUUAAGUCCCGCAACGGGCGCAACCCUUAUUGUUAGUUACCAGCACGUAAUGGUGGGGACUUUAGCAAGACGGCCAGUGAUCAAUUUGAGGAAGGUGGGGACGACGUCAAAUCAUCAUGCCCCUUAUGACCUGGGAUACAAACGUGAUACAAUGGCUGUUACAAAGGGUAGCUGAAGCGCAAGUUUUUGGCGAAUCUCAAAAAAACAGUCUCAGUUCGGAUGAAGUUGCAACUGACUUCAUGAAGUGGAUCGCUGUAACGGAUCAGCAUCUCUAAAUUAAAAAAAAAAGAACA
rnacentral:rRNA from 1 species